rnacentral:rRNA from 1 species
AUUGAACGCUGGCGGCAGGCCUAACACAUGCAAGUCGAGCGAGCGGCGGACGGGUGAGUAAUGUCUGUGAAACUGCCUGAUGGAGGGGGAUAACUACAGGAAACGAUAGCUAAUACCGCAUACCAUCAGAUGUGCCCAGAUGGGAUUAGCUAGGAGUUGGGGUAACGGCUCACCUAGGCGACGAUCCCUAGCUGGUCUGAGAGGAUGACCAGCCACACUGGAACGGAGAAACGGUCCAGACUCCUACGGGAGGCAGCAGUGGGGAAUAUUGCACAAUGGGCGCAAGCCUGAUGCAGCCAUGCCGCGUGUGUGAAGAAGGCCUUCGGGUUGUAAAGCACUUUCAGCGGGGAGGCGUUACCCGCAGAAGAAGCACCGGCUAACUCCGUGCCAGCAGCCGCGGUAAUUC